UUUUCUCUUGCAUAAGAGAAAAUUGAAAGAUGGUUUCGGCUAUCACUUACAGAUGGGCCCGCGGUGCAUUAGCUAGUUGGUGAGGUAACGGCUCACCAAGGCAACGAUGCAUAGCCGACCUGAGAGGGUGAUCGGCCACACUGGGACUGAGACACGGCCCAGACUCCUACGGGAGGCAGCAGUAGGGAAUCUUCCGCAAUGGACGAAAGUCUGACGGAGCAACGCCGCGUGAGUGAUGAAGGCUUUCGGGUCGUAAAACUCUGUUGUUAGGGAAGAACAAGUACAAGAGUAACUGCUUGUACCUUGACGGUACCUAACCAGAAGGCCACGGCUAACUACGUGCCAGCAGCCGCGGUAAUACGUAGGUGGCAAGCGUUAUCCGGAAUUAUUGGGCGUAAAGCGCGCGCAGGCGGUUUCUUAAGUCUGAUGUGAAAGCCCACGGCUCAACCGUGGAGGGUCAUUGGAAACUGGGGAACUUGAGUGCAGAAGA
rnacentral:rRNA from 1 species